rnacentral:rRNA from 1 species
UACACUCCUACGGGAGGCAGCAGUGGGGAAUAUUGGCCAAUGGGCGCAAGCCUGAUCCAGCCAUGCCGCGUGAGUGAUGAAGGCCCUAGGGUUGUAAAGCUCUUUCACCGGUGAAGAUAAUGACGGUAACCGGAGAAGAAGCCCCGGCUAACUUCGUGCCAGCAGCCGCGGUAAUACGAAGGGGGCUAGCGUUGUUCGGAUUUACUGGGCGUAAAGCGCACGUAGGCGGACUAUUAAGUCAGGGGUGAAAUCCCGGGGCUCAACCCCGGAACUGCCUUUGAUACUGGUAGUCUUGAGUUCGAGAGAGGUGAGUGGAAUUCCGAGUGUAGAGGUGAAAUUCGUAGAUAUUCGGAGGAACACCAGUGGCGAAGGCGGCUCACUGGCUCGAUACUGACGCUGAGGUGCGAAAGCGUGGGGAGCAAACAGGAUUAGAUACCCUAGUAGUCCCAUG